UAUCUCUGUAGAGUCUGCAUAUCAAUAAGCGGAGGAAAAGAAACUAACAAGGAUUCCCUUAGUAACGGCGAGUGAAGCGGGAAGAGCUCAAAUUUGAAAUCUUCAAGGUUUUACCUUGACGAAUUGUAGUUUAAAGAAGUGUUUUCUGUUGAAGUUUUGGUAAAAGUUCUUUGGAAUAGGACAUCAUAGAGGGUGAGAAUCCCGUAUUUGACCAUUAUUUUCAGCUGUGUGAUACACUUUCAAAGAGUCGGAUUGUUUGGGAAUGCAGUCCAAAAUGGGUGGUAAAUUUCAUCUAAAGCUAAAUAUUGGCGAGAGACCGAUAGCGAACAAGUACCGUGAGGGAAAGAUGAAAAGAACUUUGAAAAGAGAGUUAAACAGUACGUGAAAUUGUCAAAAGGGAAGCGUUUGACACCAGUGUUGUUUUCUCGAAAAUCAAUUAAAAAAGGCAGGAUUUUGUGUUGUAUUGACUUUAUCAGCUUUCUGCACUCUUUUCUUGUCUUUUUUAAUGCACUUUUCGUUUAACAAGUCAACAUCAAUUUCUUUUGUUGUAAAAGAGUCAUUGGAAGGUGGCUUUCACUUCGGUGAAAGUGUUUAUAGCCUUUGGCUUCUGCAAUCGGAGAGAUUGAGGUCUGCAGCGUAGAUCCUUCGGGGCUAGAUACGUAGAUGCUAAGUUAUAGUUUUUUAUAGACAACUUGUUGACUAUAAUUAAUCAUGUAGCUUACUCGUUUGCGCUAUUUUACCUACGCUUAGGAUGUUGAUCUGUAGUGCGUGCGC
rnacentral:rRNA from 1 species